rnacentral:rRNA from 1 species
CUUGAUUAAAUAUAAGAGGUCCAGCCUGCCCAGUGACAUAGUUAAACGGCCGCGGUACCCUGACCGUGCGAAGGUAGCAUAAUCACUUGUUCCUUAAAUAGGGACUUGUAUGAACGGCAUCACGAGGGCUUUACUGUCUCCUUUCUCCAAUCAGUGAAACUGAUCUCCCCGUGAAGAAGCGGGGAUGAUAAUAUAAGACGAGAAGACCCCAUGGAGCUUUAAACCCAACGACACCCCUCAACUCCCCAACCCAUUUUAGUUGCUACAGUCCUGUUCGUUGGUUUUAGGUUGGGGUGACCGCGGAGUAUAGACUAACCUCCACGACGAAUGGGAUUACCCCCUUACCCAAGAGCUACUCCUCUAAGGAUCAAUAAAUUGACGUAAAAUGAUCCAAGCAUUUGAUCAACGGACCA